CGAAAGCUUCCACUGGGAUCUGAUAUUUGUUACUGAACCAGUCAAGAUGUCUACCAACGACUCCACUGGAGAUUUUGAUUUUUCAGAAAAGGAACCACGACCCGUCAUCGAAGGAUGAUGGAUGGGAACAAAGAAAUCACAACUAGACGCCAACGAACGACUAGGAAAAACUCGACGUUUAUCGAAACCAACGGAGAGGUGACCAGACAUCAAAGGAUGAAUGGGAAAGAAAU
rnacentral:lncRNA from 1 species